UACGUAGGUGGCAAGCGUUAUCCGGAAUUAUUGGGCGUAAAGAGCGCGCAGGUGAUUGAUUAAGUCUGAUGUGAAAGCCCACGGCUUAACCGUGGAGGGUCAUUGGAAACUGGUCGACUUGAGUGCAGAAGAGGGAAGUGGAAUUCCAUGUGUAGCGGUGAAAUGCGUAGAGAUAUGGAGGAACACCAGUGGCGAAGGCGGCUUCCUGGUCUGUAACUGACACUGAGGCGCGAAAGCGUAGGGAGCAAACAGGAUUAGA
rnacentral:rRNA from 1 species